AUUGGGAGUAGAGAGUGGUGGAGAGAAAGAGAGAAGGUCAGAGAGGUCAGUAAAGUCCAGACCAUGCACAGCUUCAGGUCAGGUGAAGAAUGGGAAGCUAUUGGCAGAUUUUAAGCAGGGGAAUGUCAUGAUCUAAUGUUUUCAAAAGACCACUCUAGCAGGAGUGUGGUGGAGUGAGAGUGGGUGUGGGAAGAGCAGUUAUAUGACCAUUUAAGCGAUCUUAGCAGACAUGAUGGCAGCUCUGCAAUGAAGACCAGGAGAUGAACACGGGAUACAUUUUGGAGUUGUAGCUGAUCGGGCAUACUGAUGGAUUAGAGGGGGGUAGCAGUAAGCAAGGAGACACAUCAAGGAGGCAAUUGGAUCUAAAAACUUUCAGCUUGAUGGAGAGGCCAGUGCUGGAUUUAUAAAUUGAGUAGCCGUUGGGUUAUUGCUAAUGUUUAAAGCUGUAAGACUGGGUCCAGGUUGAGAGUGUGGCUGAAGUGCACCUAGGACCCAGCCUUUGGGCACCUCACCACUGAGAGUUUGGAAAGAGAAAGCAGCCUGCAAAGAAGACUGAAGUGCUCCAGUGUGGAGAAAAACCACAGAAUAUUUCAAGAAGAUGAGAGCGUUCAACUUGGUCAAAUGCUGUGAAGACAUCUAGGAAGCUGGGAACAGAAACAUAACUAUUAGAUGUGAUAAAAAUAGGGGUCAUGGGUGACCCUAAAGAGGCAUUUCAGUAAGUAUGGGGGCUGGAAACCUAUUUAGAGUCAACUGAGGCAAAAAUGAAAUGUGAAAAUAUUAAGACAGCACUUUUCUUGCUGUCUUGGGUAGAUCAAAAUGGGGUAGAACCUGGAAGGGGAUAAGAUGUCAAGAAAAAAGUUUGAGUAGAAAUGAAUACCAGUGAGAUCGAUCCAAUGAAAAAGGAGAAAUUGAUGGUGUAGGAGAAAAGCAAAUUUAACUGCAGGAGGUUAAGUCUUGGGAGCAGGGACAAUUUGAGUAGCUCAGCAGCCAUUCAUGGGCAGCAGCAGUUUGGUUGAUGCUGUUAGCUGGGACUCAACUGGGGCUAUCUGCCAGAACGGUCUUUGAAGAGUUCACCCAGGAGCUUCAAAAUGAGGAACAGUGCUUGCAAUUUCCUUGAAUACUAAGAACAUCCAGCUAUUUGUAGACAGAUAAAAGAGAGCAGCCCCCAGAGGUGCUGAUCCAGCCAAGAUAGCUCAUCCAGGUCUCAACAGGACUAAAGGACUUAUCCUAUGCCUAGUUUUUC
rnacentral:lncRNA from 10 species